AGGGUCCGGGUGUUUCCCGCGGUCACGAGAAGCCGCCCUAGAGGAAAGUCCGGACUCCCUGAGGCAACGGUGCCGGGUAAUGCCCGGGCGGAGUAAUCCGACGGAAAGCGCCACAGAAAACAAACCACUUCUGCUUGCAGGAGAAAGGGUGAAACGGUGGGGUAAGAGCCCACCGGGGGGCUGGCAACAGCGCCCGCAUGGCAAGCCCCACCUGGGAGCAAUGCCGAAUAGGGACCGUAUUAUGGGGCGCUUCACCCCCGCGGUCCGGGUUGGCAGCUAGAGUGUGCGAGCAAUCGUACGCCGAGAGGAAUGGUCAUCCAGCUUGCGGGGAAACCCGCUUGUGGACAAAAUCCGGCUUACAGGCCCUCCAC
rnacentral:RNase_P_RNA from 1 species